rfam:Amycolatopsis mediterranei S699, complete genome.
AGCUCGACGGGGUCGACGGCGCGGGUGACCAGCAGGUAGUCGCGGAUGCAGAUGCCGUGGCGGCCUUC